rnacentral:rRNA from 1 species
AACCUGCCCCAUAGUCUGGGAUACCACUUGGAAACAGGUGCUAAUACCGGAUAAGAAAGCAGAUCGCAUGAUCAGCUUUUAAAAGGCGGCGUAAGCUGUCGCUAUGGGAUGGCCUCGCGGUGCAUUAGCUAGUUGGUAAGGUAAAGGCUUACCAAGGCGAUGAUGCAUAGCCGAGUUGAGAGACUGAUCGGCCACAUUGGGACUGAGACACGGCCCAAACUCCUACGGGAGGCAGCAGCA